CCUGUUGCUGGGUCCUGUAACAGG
rfam:Marinobacter sp. HL-58 ITZY_scaf_21, whole genome shotgun sequence.